rnacentral:rRNA from 1 species
GCGCAGCAGGCGAGAAACCUUCGCAAUGCGGGAAACCGCGACGAGGGGACUCCCAGUGCCUACGCUCAGCGUAGGCUGUUCCCGAGCCUAGAAAGCUCGGGGAGUAAGGGCUGGGUAAGACGGGUGCCAGCCGCCGCGGUAAUACCCGCAGCCCGAGUGGUGGCUACUAUUAUUGGGCCUAAAGCGUCCGUAGCCGGCCCGGUAAAUGCCUGGGUAAAUCGUGAGGCCUAACCUCACGAAUUCCGGGUAGACUGCCGGGCUAGGGACCGGAGGAGGGAGAGGGGUACUCCAGGGGUAGGGGUGAAAUCCUGUAAUCCCUGGAGGACCACCGGUGGCGAAGGCGCUCUCCUAGGACGGGUCCGACGGUGAGGGACGAAAGCCAGGGGAGCGAACCGGAUUA